CUGACUGCUAUCGGAUUGGUACUAAGCCAUGCGAGUCAUUGUAGCAAUACAAGGCGGACGGCUCAGUAACACGUAGUCAACCUAACCUAUGGACGUGGAUAACCUCGGGAAACUAGGAAUAAACCGCGAUAGAUCAUUAUGCCUGGAAUGGCUUAUGGUUCAAACAAUUUAUUGCCGUAGGAUGGGACUGCGGCCUAUCAGCUUGUUGGUGAGGUAAUGGCCCACCAAGGCUAUAACAGGUACGGGCUCUGAGAGGAGAAGCCCGGAGAUGGGUACUGAGACACGGACCCAGGCCCUAUGGGGCGCAGCAGGCGAGAAACCUUAGCAAUGUGCGAAAGCACGACUAGGUUAAUCCGAGUGAUUUCUGUUGAAGAAAUCUUUUGUCAGUCGUAAAACCACAGACGAAUAAGGGGUGGGCAAGUCUGGUGUCAGCCGCCGCGGUAAUACCAGCACCUCGAGUGGUCAGGAGGUUUAUUGGGCCUAAAGCAUCCGUAGCCGGCUUUGCAAGUCUCCGGUUAAAUCCAGCUGCUCAACAGAUGGGCUGCCGGAGAUACUACAAAGCUAGGGAGCGGGAGAGGUAGACGGUAUUCUGUGGGUAGGGGUAAAAUCCUUUGAUCCAUAGAGGACCACCAGUGGCGAAGGCGGUCUACCAGAACGCGUUCGACGGUGAGGGAUGAAAGCUGGGGGAGCAAACCGGAUUAGAUACCCGGGUAGUCCCAGCUGUAAACGAUGCAAACUCGGUGAUGCAUUGGCUUAUGGCCAAUGCAGUGCCGCAGGGAAGCCGUUAAGUUUGCCGCCUGGGAAGUACGGACGCAAGUCUGAAACUUAAAGGAAUUGGCGGGGGAGCACCACAAGGGGUGAAGCCUGCGGUUCA
rnacentral:rRNA from 1 species